UAUAUUCUCUUGGUCAGUGCCCAGAUAUUAGAGUAGAUCAAUGGCUUGUUUUAUAUGUAUUCAUUCAUGCACAUUUAUUUUGAAAAAAUCAUUAAAGACCACCCAAAACUGCUUUAGUCCACCAAGAAUCCAAGUUAUAUCUUUUGGCUUUAUUGCUUAAGAUGUAAUCUCCUAAUUAUAUUUGCCUAGUUUUUCUCUGGAGUGACAGUCUCCUGCCGUUUUUGACAUGUAUAGAGUUGCAAGUGAGCAUGCUUGGAUGUAUUCAUACUUUAGCGGUCAACAGAUGAAGGGAUCAAGAAAAUACUUACUGCAGGGUGGUGUUGUAGCUUCCUUAUUUGCAGGUUAAAAGUAGAUAAGUGUGAUAAACAUCUCUAUACAAGCCUGGUAAGACAGAUGGGUCGUCUGUGGUCAUAUCUUAUGUUUACUACCAUACCUAAGAGCCAUAAAUAUUUCUAGCUUGAUCUUCUUAUGUGAGGAGCCAGUCCAUUGACCGGCCCGCACAUGAUUUGGGCCAGUGGGCUGGCGCUGAGUGGUCAACCUAACUCCUCACAUGCACUGCACGUGAGGAAAAGGGAGAGGAAGACUAUGGUUUGGGAGUCUUCUUUCUCCCUCAUCCGAUCGCGAUCCUUUCUUCUCCUCGACGACUCCAACUAGAAAUCAGAGACCUAGGACCAGCAGAGCCUAAGGUCUCUUCUAUAUAAACAUCCCCACCUCUC
rnacentral:lncRNA from 1 species